CACACAAUGGAUUAUCAUUCAGCCUUAAAAAAGAAGGAAAUCCUGCCAUAUUUGACAACAUGGAUGAACUCAGAGGACAAUGUGCUAAGCGAAAUAUACUCGACACCUAAAGACAAAUACUAAAUGAUCUCAUUUACAUAUGGAAUCUAAGAAUGUUGAACUCGUAGAAUAUGCGACAGUGGUGGCUGGCUGCCAGGGGCUGGUGGAAAUGGAGAGAGAUUGGUCAAGGAUAUAAACUUUCAGUUAUGAGAUGAAGAGAAAGACCAAGAAAGGGGAAGAAACCAGAUUCAAAAUGAUCCUUGAAGACAAAUGCUGACGAAAGCCCAACAGAAGAAACACAGCUUGAGAGGUUAUGAGUUCUCUUUUGUUGGAAGUUCCCAGGAGCCAAACAGAGGGUUUUAUGCCAAUAAGAGCAAUCUAAGGAUUCUGCUGGUUGGUGAAAGGAUGCACUACAAAGUUUUAAGGUCCCUUCCAACAUCAAGAAUCUGCAGUUCUAUGAUUCUAUGGUUGAGGUUCACCAAAUUAGUAGAUGGAGCCCAGUGUUAACCUCUCCUCCAACCCAUCUUUGUAUGAUGAAUGGUAAAUACUUUAAAAUAUUCUUGGUAGAACUGGAAAAAAAUGAUUAAAUAAAACUUGUGUCUCUAAUAUUAA